GGGUUAGCUAACGCACAGCCGGGCAGAUAAGACCCUGGUUAUAACCCACCUGGUGUAAGUGUGUUCAUUCCUGAGCACUGCAUUACACAAGCCUUCCUCACUGUCCGCUACUCCAGCACCUUGGUUCCAUCAUCAGUGGAUAUCCCAACAUCAAACCUUAUGAUGGAAGGAAGUUAUUGAAGAAGCAGUGGAAGAUGAUUGGGCCUAGGAACUGUUCCACCUCAGCAUGUUGAUCAUUGCGUAGAUCAUCAAUGAUCAUUCACUGAUCUUGUGAAUCAAUGCUGAUCAACGAACCUCCAACGAAGCUAAAAGCUGGAGGAAUGACUGAACAUGAAUGAGAAGUGGAAACAGUGAAGAAGGAAAAGAUUAAAAGCAUAAGCAUUGCAGGAAAGCGGCUAGCCCAGACCCGGUUGAUCUUUCAGAACUGCCUCAGGCACAAAAAAAAAGAAGACUUAAUUAAUUUGUAUUUUGGGUACCAAAGUUCAAAUUUCCAGUGUUAGUGGGCUGUAACUAUCAAUAAUAUGAAUGGACAGUUUAACCACAUACUACGUCUUCGAAACUCAAGGUCACCCCCGUUGUUCUAAAGUCAUACAGUCUUUGUGACGUCAAGCACCCAUUUACGUUAACCCCACACAGAUGUGAUUUUACUCACCAAACAUGUAGUCAAGAGUGUUUAAUUGUGAUAUGUACUGACAACAGAACAAUGUUACUUGCAACAACUUAACUGGCCCGUUAUACAUAGAUAAUGUAUAAUAAUCAUUAAUACAAUAAAUUAAUAACUGUAAUAUUAGUGCAAAAGUCCAAACUCCUUAGCACAACCAAAGACACAGUACAUCGUUGCUGAGGUUAGUGUUGUGUAGUGUUCACGAGCCUGAUGGAUGUUUUUCUAUAGAUGCAGCAUGGAAACAGACCCUUCAGCCUACCGAGUCUACAUCAACCAUUGAUCACAUGUUCACACUAGUUCUAUGUUAUCCCACUUUCUGAUCCACUCCCUUCACAUUAAGGGCAAUUCUGAAAAAAGGUCAUGACCCAAAAUGUCACCUAUCUAUGUUCUCCAGAGAUGCUGCCUGACCCGCUCAGUUACUCCAGCACUUUGUGUCUUUUGUGGAUCAGGAUGUAGUUGGAAUGGUUAGUAAAUUUGAAAAAGGACACCAAAAUUGGUGGAGUCAUGGACAAUCUUAGAUUACAACAGGAUCUAGAUCAACUGGGAAAGUGAAUCAAGAAAUUGAAUUAGAAUUAGAAUUAGAAUUACCUUUAUUGUCAUUCAGACCUUACGGUCUGAACAAAAUUUCGUGCCUGCGGUCAUACAUACAAUAAUAAACAACAAUAAACACAAAUUAACAUCCACCACAGUGAGUCCUCCAAGCACCUCCUCACUGUGGUGGAGGCAAAAAUCUUAGGGCUGCAGUUUCUUCCCUCCUCUUCUCCCUCUGCGCUGAGGCGAUACCCCACCGAGCGAUGGUACAAACAGUCCCGCGGCUCACAGAGCUCCGCGAACGGGCCGGC